AGUUUUUACUUUGGGCUAAUGCAUACCUGUUUGUUAUGGUCAAAAGAGGUAUAGAGUACAAGCUGUGUGUCUGCAAUAACCUGCCUCUGCUUCUCCAAGGAAACAGAAUGUAGAUGCUGACUGAGGUCCCAGGUAACAGAGCCCUAUGACUCUACACUGCCAUCACCAGGAUACCAAGCAGGGAUAAAAGACUGAAAUCCGAAGAGUUGAAGCAGCAGCAGGAGAGAUCUUGGAAACCAAGGAACUCUACAGAUGCUCUGUCCACCUGCUGUCUACAAGCACCACCCACGAGCGUCCAUCUCAUCCACAUUCCGUUACAGACUUCUGCUCCUACCAAAAUCGGCAGUGGUCUUUCAGAGCUUGAUAUAGUUAAGAACAGUGACCCUGAUGUGACAGCAAUAAUAAAGUGUAUAAAGCUUUCUUUCA